rnacentral:lncRNA from 1 species
AACACCAGGGAUUGCUGGAGAAUAGUUUCCCAACCACUGGGCCUUUUUAGAAUUCUCUGUCAUUUUCAUCUAUCCAUAUUAAUUCUUAAGCAGUAUCCACUCAAAUAGCUGUGCUUCAACCCUGAGGAAUGUAAAUACUGAGGUAAUUAUGAGCUGUAUUUUCCAGUGGCACAUAUCUCAAUGAUUAUCGGAAAGUCAAAUGUUAAUGUCACCAAAUAAAGAAGUAAAACAUGGUUAAUGUAUUGUGACCAAAGUUAAUAGGCUAAGAUGGAGCAGGCAAUCUCACAUUGCCAGGACAUUUGAAUGGGGAGACCAGAAGUGCUUUUUCAUCAUUGCAAUCUUACAGGACUGUAGCUGUGUUUUACUUGCACGAGCCUCUCAGAAGGACUGACGAGACACAGGGUAUGAGGCAGAGGGCUGAGAUAAAAACGGGUGGAGGCGGGUUGUUGGACGAAGUGUGUGUGUCUAAUUGGGCAGGGGUGCGGGGUGCAGGGUGAGAGAAUGACUCAGGGCACAGUCCUCUUCCUAAAUCUGCGAGAGUUCAAGGGCAGCAAGGAAAUCCUUUGUCGCAUGGGAAUUGGCCAUGAACUUGCUCUCUGGGUUUCCUCCUUCUCCGGGUUCCAUUCUACAAGUUGCUUCUCUUCCUCUCUUCUGUAUCCGACUCCCCUUCCCCUUAAGCAAAUUUGAACACAUAUCGAUUGGAAAGUUUGUAGUGUCCCUAAUUGUUUUCCACUUUCUAUUUAUCAUCCAUUACGGAAUCUGGUGGGUCUACAAAAAAUCUGAUUGUUAUGGGCCGAACUGAGUAUCCCUUCAAAACAUAUGUUGAAGUCCUAACCCCCAGUACCUGUGAAUGCGAUCCCCCCAAAAGAUAUGUUGAAGUCCUAACCCCCAAUACCUCCAAAUGUGAUUCUAUUUGGAAAUAGGGCAGUUACAGAUGUCAUAAGUCAAGAUGGGGAGGCCUCUGAUCCAACGUGCCUGGUGUGGUUAGAAGAGGCUCAUGGCCACGGUGGAAGCAGAGAUUGAAACGAUACAAGUGGAGAAGGGACAAGGCGGCUGAGCGGAAGGACCUUGAGCUCAUCUCCUCUCCGGAGAACGCCAGCAUCACAACUAACUGCUGAACAACCUUGGAUCAAAACACCUGGAAAUGAUGCACCUACAAGCCAAGGAACGCCAGAGACUAUCACCAGAAAGUAAGGAGAGAGGCACGGAAGAGAUCCUCCCUCAGAGUCCUCAGAAAAAACCAACACCUCGAUUUUAGACUUCUGGCUUUUUCUGUUAUUUUAAGCCACCCAGUUUGUGGUCCUUUUUUAUAGCAGCCCUAGGAAGCUAAAAGACGAAUAUUUGAAAGAAAUCUUAACAUUUCUCCCUUUAGAUGACAAUUAUAUCCAUAGCCCAAUAACAAGAAUGACUGCCAACAUUUAGUGCUUGCUGUAUACAUGUCAGACAUCAAGUUUUCCUCCCCAGAACUGCCCCAUUGCCCCUACAGAAACCAGGCUGCCCGUUACUCCUUGACUCAAGCACCCAGGGAUCCUACUGUUGACAAUAGAUGGUCCACUCAGUAGUUACAGUUCUGAGGCUCCACCACGCAGUUCUCAGAAUCCCCAAGAAUCCCUUUGCGGACUUAUCACCUCCCUAAAGAGACACCUUCUGAGACGUUAAACAGUCAGCUGAACAUUGGUCGGGGGAGGAUGAACUCAGAGUCAGCUGUGUAGUCAGAUGAACGGGAUGCUCCGUGACACCAGACCCUUCCGUUUCACAAUGAAGAUAAUCUUUGAGCUGGAAUGUUGCCAUCUUCUUCUCUGGUCAGAAGAGCCGAGCUGCAGUUGGCAGUCUUUGUAGAGCUCCCUGAGCUGACCAACCUUUCUGAGAGUAACAUUUUCCCCUUUGUUGUAUUAAUAUACUAAUUAAUCAAGUUACAGUUGGUUAUAUGUUAGUUCAGGAAGCAGAUGUCAAGAUGGGAUUAAACGUGCAUGGAUUUUACCUGGGGAAGAAGUCAGGGAAGGCUCGGAGGGUCACUGGACCACGAGGCAAGGCUGUUCCCUGAUGAAGGAAAAAAGGGCAGAAAAGAGAGGGCGGAAGUGUCCCAGAUUGCCACAUGGUGUAGGGAAGUUCAUUAAAGCCACUGGGGCAGGAGUGCGUGGAGGAGGUGACUAGAGGCAAAGUGGGAGGGAAGAGGAAUCUUCCUUCUCUCAGGAAUGGAUCUGCCCUGGUGGUCCUGCUGUGCCCUGUGACUGGCUGGGAGCAACCCAUGGGAGGCUGGGUCUUAGUGCUGAUGCAGUGAAGGAUUUCAGAGGCAGAAGGUGGGUGGGUCCUUGGUCAAUUACACACACUGUGGUUGGAGGUCUUCCGUGGCCCACACACCACAGCCUGGGAGUCACUCUUCUUUAAGGGGAUUGACUGCACAUCUUGGUAAUGCACUGAUUUAAAAUUUAAGUGCCAGAAGCCAUUUUACUUCCCAUUUCUUGGAAGAAGCCUCACUGGGGCACAACUUCCAAGUGUUCAUAAUACCUAUCUUGUUUUAGUUCGUGUGCCUGUUAUAUACGUAAACACACACAUACAGACAUAUGUUUAAGAUAUACUACUGUAUUUUUUUUUUAAAAAAAGAGAAGGCCAUUGAGCUAAACACUUCCUGAGAAAUCUAACUUUUUCAAACCUAUAGUGAAAUAGCUCUUAAAUGGAAGGAUCCUGUUUCAGUACACUGCAUUAUAUCUGCUAGACUUACAUAAAUGCACAUUCAUAAUAACACCUCAAGGUGAAUAAAUGAUACACCUUAUACCUUGCAGCAUAGAUCACACUUAAUGAAACACCUCGCUGGCUCUAGAGAACACUUUGCUUCUCUUUAAUAAGAACAGAUGUUGUCUGCAGAAAAAGUAAUUUCCACAACCCCGGUGCUGAGAACAGGUGAAACGAACAACAGUGCACGUUAUUCUUACCACACCGUCCAAAUGGCACUUGAGGAAUAUGCUGAGCACAGCUCCAUCUGUCUGGUCAGAGAACUUUGUGUAGAGAAGAUGUGGGAGAACAUGGUGUGCAUGUGGAUUCAACCAGACCAGAGUGACUGGCCCUCCCAAACCUCUGGGAGGGAAUUCCUCUUAAAAUGAUGUGAAAUACACAGUACCCAAGAGGUGAGGGAAUCAGCGAAAAUGGCCAUCCACUGAAUAAGAAUCUUCGAUUGUUGUCUAGUGCAUUGUUGAAAUUUAGAUAAAUUACUGAAUUAAUGUCAUGAUCAAUUCCUUUUUUGUUUGGGCUGCCUCCUUUUUUCUUUUUAUGCAGCCCAGUUUAAUCCACAUAAAACCACUUUGGCCUGAUGGUUCCUUUUAUCAAAGUGAUUGGAAAAUGCCAUUUCAAUAAUUAGACUUCCUCUAUGUUUUCCCAGUUUUUUUUUUUUCCCAUUUAUAACUUGUUUGGAAUAUUUUUUCAAUGUUCUGAUGCAAUGCAAAGAAAUAUGACCCCCCAAAAAGCAAAAACAUUUUGAGCCUUUCUUUAUCUAGAAACUAGUCAUUCUUUUGGUUCCAAAAACACUCAAUACUUCCAGGUUACCUCAAGUUCGUGAACAGGGUAGAAAAGUUAGAAUAAUAAUAAUCUAAAUAACUGGAAGCUUCAACUAAUCAGAUUUUUGUUUUUCACUGUCAGCACUCUAAGUUUAUGAAAAAAUUACAAGUAAACUAUAAUAACAAUUUCUAAGGUGAUUUUUAAUAUUCUUGGACAUAUUCAGUGGCUUACAGUUGAAAAUUGUGUUAUUGAACUAUAAUAUACUUUGAACAUGUAUUUGAAAUGUUCUAUUUGCUAAGGCAAGAAAUAGAAUAAUACAUUUCAUCAAUAAUUUUAGGACUUCCUGCUGUGGGUACAGUGGGUUAAAGAUCUGGCAUUGCUGCAGUUGCGGCGUAGGCAGCAGCUGCAGCUUGAUUUGAUCCCUUGCCCAGGAGCUUCAUAUGCUGCCAGUGUGGCCAAAAAACCCCCAAAACAAAACAAAAAAAGAAAAAAAAACAAAAAAACUCAAUAAUUUUUAACUAGAGGAGGAGACAAAUUUUGGCAUUUAGAGCAUUAACUCUUGGCCAAGCAGAAAGCAGAAUAACCAGAGUCUCUCAUUUAGUUAUUCAAGACUUUGCUCUACUUCUCAGGACACAGGGACAAAUACCUGGCCUCUUACACACUGAUGCAGAUUUACAUCUCAAUUCCAUGAGCAUUGAGUCAGUUUCUAGGAGGCCUAUUAGCACUGGCAGCCUCCUUGUUAUGCCCACAUAGUGCUCCUAUAGUGAUCCUGAAUCUGAAGAAUUAGAGAAAUUAUUCUAGGCUGCAUAGUUUAAUCGAGGAGUGGGGGCUGGAGAAAGAAAGCUGUCAAGUCAAAAGGAGAUGAUUAUAGAUUCUGCUGGCACCUGUUCCUCCAUUACACACACACACACACACACACACACACACACACACACACACACACACACAUUGUGGGCUGUACCUUUCUCACUUCUUUUCUCUUCCACCUUUGGUGUUCAUUCGAAUGGGACUGGGCACAGAGAAUGCUUAUGAGCUAAAGAGGACCUAUACUGAGUGAAUAGUCUUGAGUCACAUAUUUGUCUAGGAAGUCAUCUUUGGGCCCAUGAUCUAUUAAGCAGUACUUAAUAAACAUUUAUUGAAUAGAUGCAUGUAUACUGGCUGCCUACUGACCCAAGGCUUAAAUCAGAUUGUUAGAAGACUUAUUCCCCAUUGCUUCAGAAUCAUUUCCUCUGCACAGUUCAGGGAUUCUAUGCUGCUAAGAGCUGCUGCGUUAGGAAUUAAAUAAGAAGAUCCUGAACUCUAAAAACUCUGAAAAACAUCUAUCGAAGCUUGGGUUUUUCCAUCCUCUGUCUUGAGCUCAUUCCAAUUUUGUAAAUGACUUUCAGCUAUUCUCCUAAUAGCCCAUCUGUAAACUCUAUUGCUGCCUUGCAGUGAAAUUCUUCUAUAGGUGAACAUGCAAUAUGGGUACCAAAAUCCAUCAGAAACUGAACUAUUAUGAUGAGAACAUAAAUAACUAGGAAAUUGGUGUAGAAUUUUUUGUUUUUUUAUACAGAAAGUGUGCUUGUUGUUUAAUGUAAUACUCUGUGUAUAAAUGAUUGGCUUAACAUAUAAUAACUUUUAGAGGGAUUC